AACAUACUCCCUACGUCCCAAAAUUCUUUUCUCAGGUUUGCUUAUAAAUGGAUGAAUCUGAAUACUAAAACCUGACUAGAUACAUUUAUAUAUAAACAAAUCUAAGACAAAUUUUUUGGGACGGAGGGAGUACAUA
rfam:Hordeum vulgare subsp. vulgare, WGS project CAJW01000000 data, contig: morex_contig_1559300